rnacentral:lncRNA from 1 species
ACAUCAUUAUCUUUCAUAUAAAAAUAUGUACUUUAGAUCUAAAAAUAAAAAUCGGAUCGAUCUCAUCGAUGCUGAAAUUCUAAAUCUAACUAUUAGAUCUAUCAUAAAAAUCAAAACAAGUUAGAGAUCAUUACCAAAUAAAUUUGAUCUUGAUCUCCUCAGGUCCAAUGAUUGGAGAAGAUGUUCUUCAGAUCACUUACAGCCACACAGAAUCAUCUGGCCUC